UCUUGUCCACCUGGAAAGCCUUGGCGAGAACAUCGUCGGAGAUGGGUGGCUUAGACCCGAACACAGCGUCGGCGAUGGUGAUGGUGCCAGGGUUUUGGCUACUGAGAGCACCGAUGGCGACGGUGUUGGUGUGCCCAGGGUUGAACUGGAAGUGGAUGAGGCCUUGAGGGAACACAAACACAUCACCCUUCUUCAGCAUCUUGGUGAAGAGACGGUUGCCGUCCUCACCGUUGGAGGUGACGAAGCCGACGAAGAGCUGUCCUUCUAUGACGGUGACGAUCUCGGUGGCAGGAGGGUGAGUGUGGGGCGGGUUGAGGCCUUUGGGGACGUAGUCGAUGCGAACCAUGGAGAUACCGAGGGUAUUCAGUCCUGGAAUCUGGUUAACGUUGGCUGGCGUGACAUUGAACCCCAACUUGUUUCCUGUCUCGCCGGGCAUGUCGAGGCCAGACAGAGAGAAGUCGUCGGCUUUCACAACCUUGGAGUCCUUGCAGACGAAUCCAUUCACCUGCACUUGCAGCAGUAAGAAUAAAACUCGAUCAGUAAACGUGCAUCAGGAUAGCCAUGGGAACAUAAAAAGGUCCAAAUGGCAAAUAUUAUCAUCAUCGAAUAAGGUUGAUGAAGCAUGGUACCUUUUGUUGGGCUCAGCCCAAUAGGUGGGCUUGGACGGUUGAUUUGGGCAUUCAGUCCAAAUCUGAUUUAUUAAAAAAAUAAAAAUAUAUAAUUUUGAGGUUUUUGUUAGAAAAUCAAUCAGUUAAACUUCAUCGAUUUUAGUCUAAAUUUUAUAUGAAAAAUCCAUAAGUUUAAUGAUGUCGAUAUACAGUUUAUCCUCUUUGAGGUACUUUUCUGCUAUAUUUACUUGGUGAGACUUAAAAUUUUUCUUUCAUGAAAGACAUUUGAUGAUAUGUUAUUAUUGAACCAAGAUAUGUGUUUUUGAUAUUAUUAUGAUCCUCUAGAAAAGAUUUAUUAUAAACCUAUUAUCAUUAUUUAUCGGUGACGAUGGAAGUUUGAAGUAGACUUCGGUCUUACGAUUUUUUCUGGAUUGAAUUUUUCACGUAAAAUACUCGAUGUCUUAUUUUGUAAUUGAUUUAUUAUUCUACUGUUUAUGUUGCUCUAAUUAAAAUUUACUUUCAAUAAUAAAUUGAUAUUUUGAUGAAUAAUCUAUUUUGAUAAAAAAAAUUCACUAUAAUAAUUUUUCUCAACGGCUUUGGAGUUCAUAUCAGCGACGCAGAAGUCUUGAAGAGGACUAGGAUCAGAAGCCAAUGCAUGAGAGGCAGCCAAGGCAAGGAGAGCAAUGAGAAGGAUUUUGGCAGCCAUCCGUAGGCUUUAGGGUGGAUGAAGUUGCUUGGUGCUGUGAUACAAAUGGUUGAAGGAGAAUGAUACACAUGGAGAAGCAGUAGGCUCCGAGACGUUCUUGAUCAUUAGGUGAAAGAGUUGAAAUGUAUAACGUGUUGGGUGCCAUCUGCUUGCUGGGCAUGAAGCUUUUUGACAGAGUCGCAGUGAUUGCUUGCCUUCCUUGCUUAACACAAAAAGACUCGCUAUCCGACUCAUCAGAAUGGCCAACCAAAUCCACACCCAGUUCUCCAAGAUUGCAUAGUGUCCACUUGAUCUCGUCAACGUUAAUAUAUGUAUGUGUGUGUCGUCAGCAAUGACCGAGCUCUUCAUUAGGGCACGCUGAAGAAGUAAAUGAACGCAAGUGGUGGAUCCAUUGAAUGAACAAAAUAGUCCAAGCUAGAUUUCUAGGAUGACAUAACGCUACCAAAGUCGUGGGAAGUUUCGCAAAGAUGUCGGAGAUGGGUAUGAAAAGAACAUACUCGUAAUGGGACUAUUUGUAUAUCAGAUUAUGAACAGUUGAUCUCUGAAAUCUCAUCCCUCGUUAUACAACCUUGUUUGUCCUACAACUCGAGGUAAUAACUUUCCUAAGUUAUUUCGGGAUUUUUUUGGUAUUAUGAUUGUUGCGUAAAUUAACUUAUAAUUGAUGUAUUUUAGUAAAUAAAUCCACAUGAAUAUAUAAAGUUUACGAAGCUCAAAGAGGAUAGAGAUAACGUGGAUAAAAGUAUGCAUAUAAUAUGGAAUGUUGCACUCUAUGCUAUGAUCUUCCGGAGGGAGAUAGUUAAUUCGUAAAGCCUAUCAACUAUGCGAUAAUACGCUAAUAAAGAUACUCACGAAUUCUGAAACAUGACGCACUUCAUACGUGCUUUUCAUAACAUAGAAAGGCUGCUUAAUUCCAUUACAAUAGCAAAUGCAAACAGGUAGUCCACUGUUUGCUUAUUGACACCAAAACACAGGAGCUAAGAGUGCAGCUUAUUCAAUUCAUCCGACUAGUUUUUCUUCGCGAACUGAGCCUGAAGCCAGUCGAUGGUCUUCUUGUCCACUUGGAAAGCCUUGGCGAGGAUUUCAUCCGAGAUGGGGGGAUUCGACCCGAACACAGCAUCGGCGAUGGUGAUGGUGCCAGGGUUUUGGCUGCUGAGAGCACCGAUGGCGAAGGUGUUGGUGUGCCCAGGGUUGAACUGGAAGUGGAUGAGGCCUUGGGGGAACACAAACACAUCACCCUUCUUCAGCAUCUUGGUGAAGAGACGGUUGCCGUCGUCGCUGUUGGAUGUGACGAAGCCGACCAAGAGCUGUCCCUCUAUGACGGUGAGGAUCUCGGUGGCACGGGGGUGAGUGUGGGGCGGGUUGAGGCCAUUGGGGAUGUAGUCGAUGCGAACCAUGGAGAUGCCGAGGGUGUUGAGCCCUGGAAUCUGGAUCACGUUGGCAGGCGUGACAUUGAACCCGAAAUUGUUCUUUCCUGUAUCGCCGGGCAUGUCGAGGCCAGAAAGAGAGAAGUCGUCGGCUUUCACAACCAUGGGGUCCUUGCAGACGAAUCCAUUCACCCGCACUGCAACAGCAGAAGGAAGAAGCAAACUCGGUCGGUAAACAUGCAUCAGGAGAACAAACGCACCGAAGGAAAUUAAUCUGGAUACUAUGAAUACCUUUAGACAUCAUAUCUGCGACACAGAAGUCUUGAAGUUGGCUAGGAUCGGAAGCCAUUGCAAGAGAGGAAGCCAUGGCGAGGAGAACAAGGAGAAACAUUUCGGCGGCCAUCUGUAAUCUCUUAGAUGGAUGGGAUUACCUGGUGCCGUGAUACAGUGGCCUGGAAGAGACGGGUAUAUAUAGAGAAGCAGGCUCUGAAACAUUCAUGAUCAUUAGGUGAAGGAGAUGAAAAGUAUACCAUGUUAGGUUGCUUUCUUCUUGCAAUAUAUUUUCUAUAGCCGUCACCUCGUACGAGAUCCAUAUGAUGCACAGUAACCAUUAAAUUUGUUGACGUGUCUCAGUAACCUAAUCCAUGACCAUUUUAUAUGUAUAUAUAUAAUGAUGGAGCUUUUAGUUAGAUCAUGCUGUAGUGUAAAAUGGACUCUUACGUUCGACUGCAUAAUCCACCACGUGAGAUUUUUGUGACGACCUUACGCUACCAAACAAGAGGAGAAGUCAGCAAAGAUGUGGCAGCUGAACAGAACAAGCUAAGGACAGGUAGAAAGAACAAGAAGCCAAAGAUGUGAUUACCAAUUUGACCUUGUCGGGUCUUGUGUACUGCUACGGCUGAUACCGUGUAUUAUAAUUAAGGUGUUCUACGUCAUCUCCGACUAUUUUCAUCACACUGAGACGUCGCGUGCAUGUUGCAAAGAAGUAUGUAAAUACGUAAGUUCUUAAGAGAUUAUAAGUUGAUAUAAUGCUGUCCAAGAAUAGUAAGCAUGUUGAUAGUUGCCUCUACGUUAAACGCUUAUGGGAUCCUAAGUUAUUAAGAGAUCAUAAGAGAUUUUAAAAAUACUAAAUCUUCGUAUAUAGGUAUACAAGAAUAUUGUACGAUUUAGAUAAAAUCAAUUAUAUUCGUGAUAAAAAUCAAUGAGGUUAGGUGAGAUAAAAUAUUUUUUUUAAUUAAAUAUCUAAAGUAAAAUUAACAUAUCAACAUUACAUUGUUCACAUAAAAUUUAUAAUCAUAUUAUCUAUAAUACGAAAAAAAAAUUAUGUCAAAAUUUAAAAUCAAAUAAUAAUGGAUCUAAAUAAUAUUACGAUGCAUACCUUUCGUUGUUAUUUAGAAGAAUAAAUAUUAUCUGAUCUACAGGCGUAUCAUCGUCGGAUCUAAAUGAAAUACUUCUAUUUAGCCCUUAAGAUCAUAUCUAUUUAUAAACAAAAACAAAGAGUCUAAGAUAAGAUAUUAGAAGAAUUCCUCCCAUAAGGAUAUCCUUGGAAUCCUACUAUAAUAUGAAUUUUUUUUUUAUUAAUCAAUAAUCAUAAUCAGAAUUCAAUCAUAUCUAUAAUAUAUUUUACCUAAUUAAAUAUGACCACACAAUCUAACACUCAAUCAUAAAUCCACGAAUCAUAAAUCCAUAAAAAACCAGAAUUUUUGAACUCAUUUCAACCGAGUUCCCAAAAAGUUUAUUAAGUAAAUAAGAUAUUAUUAUGAAUACAAAACAUUUUAAAGUUUUAUAGAUGAUAAUUCUUUUCUAGAAGGUUCUGCCAGCGAGGAUGAAUAAAAAAAAAAGAAAAAUAUCGAUAUAAUAUUUGUAAUUUAUAUAAAUAUAAACAUUUUUCGUCCAUCCAACUCAGCGACCUCUCUGGCAAUCAGAAAGAUUUCAAUAACGAUCAAACAAAGGCUAAUCGAUUAUUUCAGUCAUCAGAUUUUGGUGGCAACGACAUGUUACCAAACACCAUAAAGAAGCUCUCAAAGUCCGACCACGAGACAAGACAAAGUUGCCAGUACGAAUCCGUCUCCGUUCUUCGACCUCGUUCCAUACUGUAUAUUACGAUCGAAGUGAACUGUGUCAUCUUCAACUAUUUCACCAUCACACUGUUUAUAUAUUAUUAUGGUCUAUUUGUGAUCACAACAUAAGAGUUCAAAUUCAUAAUUAUAUUUCAUUUUAGUAAAUGAAUAAAUUGGAGUGAUUGAUACCGCCGGUUAUAGGUGGAUGCAAUCGAGCCAUAUACUACUACUGAACUUUGUAGAUCCCAUGUCAUACAAGUCAAGACAAAAGCACUCCUUUCGGGAAUUCUUGGUGAUGACUUGUUGAAGUUAUGAUCGUGUAUACAAUAUCUCAUGUUUCAGUCAUAAUAUUUGCAUAAAUUGACUUAUUACCGGUAUAUUUUAGUAAAGUUGUCUGCAUAGAUAUAUAAAGUUCAUGAACCUGAGGGAGGAUAAACAUAAGGUGGAUAAAGAAGUAUGCAUAUAUAUAUAUAAUAUGAGAUAUUACACUUUUUGAGGAUGCUGCACUCCAUAUAAUCUAUAAUCUUCCAGGUGGGAAAUACUAUCAUAUGAUCUAAAUAUUGAAAUAUGACUCAUGGAUUUCUUUCUUAAAAAUCAAGUUUUAUUUAUUAUAUUUAAUGACGUGUUUAUAUGAAAUUUGCAACAGUACACCAAUCGUAUGUCAAUAGAGAUGACUCGAGAAUUCUGAAACAUGACACACUUCAUACGUACUUUUCAUAACAUAGAAAGGUCUCUUAAUUCCAUUACAAUAGCAAACGCAAACAGGUAGUCCACUGUUUGCUUAUUCACACCAAAACACACGAGCUAAGAGUGCAGCUUAAUUCAUUCCUCCGACUAGUUUUUCUUCGCGAACUGAGCCUGAAGCCAGUCGACAAGCUUCUUGUCCACUUGGAAAGCCUUGGCGAGGAUUUCAUCCGAGAUGGGGGGAUUCGCCCCGAACACAGCAUCGGCGAUUGUGAUGGUGCCGGGGUUUUGGCUACUGAGAGCACCGAUGGCGAAGGUGUUGGUGUACCCAGGGUUGAACUGGAAGUGGAUGAGGCCUUGAGGGAACACAAACACAUCACCCUUCUUCAGCAUCUUGGUGAAGAGGCGGUUGUCGGUGUUGGAUGUGACGAAGCCGACUAAGAGCUGUCCCUCUAUGACGGUGAGGAUCUCGGUGGCACGGGGGUGAGUGUGGGGCGGGUUGAGGCCUUUGGGGAUGUAGUCGAUGCGAACCAUGGAGAUGCCGAGGGUGUUGAGUCCUGGAAUCUGCAUCACGUUGGCAGGCGUGACAUUGAACCCGAACUUGUUUCCGGUAUCGCCAGGCAUGUCGAGGCCAGAAAGAGAGAA
rnacentral:lncRNA from 1 species